CUGAACCAGCCAAGUAGCGUGAAGGAUGACUGCCCUAUGGGUUGUAAACUUCUUUUAUACGGGAAUAAAGUGAGCCACGUGUGGCUUUUUGUAUGUACCAUACGAAUAAGGAUCGGCUAACUCCGUGCCAGCAGCCGCGGUAAUACGGAGGAUCCGAGCGUUAUCCGGAUUUAUUGGGUUUAAAGGGAGCGUAGGCGGACUAUUAAGUCAGUUGUGAAAGUUUGCGG
rnacentral:rRNA from 1 species